UACGUAGGGGGCGAGCGUUGUCCGAAGUUACUGGGCGUAAAGCGCGCGUAGGCGGCCAUUUAAGUCUGGGGUGAAAGGUUCAGCGCUCAACGCGAACAGUGCCUUGGAUACUGGGUGGCUUGAGUUCGGGAGGGGGCAGUGGAAUUCCUGGUGUAGCGGUGAAAUGCGUAGAUAUCUGGAGGAAUACCGGUGGCGAAGGCGGCAUCCUGGACCGGCAUUGACGCUGAGGAGCGAAAGCUAGGGGAGCAAACGGG
rnacentral:rRNA from 1 species